AAUGAGUGCCAGCCUCUUUCUCUGGUUGCGAGCCUCACUCACCAUCCUACACUGCAGUAGGUCACCGCUCCCAGCGCUCCUUUCUCCCCAGGCCAUCCAGGCGUGUGGCUUCCUACAUCCGGGCACCAGCAGAGGAUGUGCCAUCUUUGAAAAACACCAGCUGGAAAUAUAACGUGGUCUUGAAAUUCAAUAAGCUUCAGAAAGAAACUUUAGAUAGGGAAGAAGACACCUCUCUAGAGAAACUGCUUGUGGUUAGCAAGAAGGCAGAAAGCUGAAUUUACAAGUCCCCAGCAGCCCUUCGGGACUGUGGGGAUAAUUGGAGUGAAUCAAAUCCAGCAACAGAAUGUGAAAAAGACCAAGAACUAGAAACCUGACCGAGAGCAAGAGCCGCCCCUGUGAGUGUGCCUGGGAAACCCAGGAGUGGAUGUGUGCAUUGGAUGGCACCCUGCCUGGGCUGAUGGGUCCCUCCUUCCCGCCACCACCGACAAGGCAGCCAUUACAAGUCGUCCCUGUGCCAGGCAUUGGGGAUGCAUCAAGCAGGUGGGGCAGGUCUGGAUGCAACAGUCUAGCUGUGAAGGCAGGAGCCAGCAGAAUGAGCAGAGGGUUGAGGAUGCUUGGAGCUGGAGAAAUUAAUUCCACCUGCCAGGGUUGGAAAGCGUGCAGAGAGGAAGCGACUUCUGAGCUGAUAAUAGGAUUUUACAAGGUGAUAAAGAGCGUUUCAAACAGAAAAGAAAGAAGAGGAAAAACACCGCAAAGAUGUGAACAGAGGCAUUCAGAGAAGAUGUUACGGGGAGAGGAGGUGACUCGCUGGGGCUGGAGCUGGAUCUUACCUUGCACUGAAGAGUCAGAAGCUUCUGCAGAGCCCUUUCGUGCGCCUGCUACCCCACCCAGCUUCUGUGUGGAAGAGCUGACAAGCCCCAGAACACCCAGUAUAUCAAGAAGGUGUUGCAAAGAUGAUGGCCACCGUGAAGGCAGAGAAAAUAUCCAUGUUACUUUCCAAGAUAAACAAAAGACAAACAGAUUUGCAGAGAAUACAGACAGGACAGAGACUGAACAAUGAAACCGAAGAAAGGGUUCCUGGAGUACCACGGCACUUCCUCCUGCUGAAACUCAUUCAUUCCACUGGCAAGUAAUUUUGCAUGUAAUAAUAAGGUUCCAGACACAAUUCUAGGUGCUGAUGUUACUGGGAAGGCGUCCCUAUCCAGACCCCAAGAGAGGGUUCUUGGAUCUCACCCAAAAAAGAAUUCGAAUUACUCCAUAAAGUAAAGGUAAGACUAUUAAAGAAGUAAAGAAACAAAAGAAUGGCUACUCCACGGGCAGAGCAGUAGCGUGGGCUCCUCAUUGGCUCUUUCUGGUUAUUUCUUGAUUAUAUGCUACACAAGCGGUGAAUUAUUCAUGAGUUUUCCAGGAAAGGCAACUCCCAGAACUGAGGGUUCCUCCCCUUUUUAGACUAUAUAGAGUAACUUCCUGACGUUGCCAUGGCAUUUGUAAACUGUCGUGGUGUGGGUGGGAGUGUCUCUUAGCAUGCUAAUCCAUUAUAAUUAGUGUAUAAUGAGCAGUGAGGAUGACCACAAGUCACUUUCGUCACCAUCUUGGUUUUGGUGGGAUUUGGCCGGCUUCUUUACUGCGUCCUGUUUUAUCAGCAGGCUCUUUGUGACCUGUAUCUUGUGCCAACCUCCUAACUCAUCCUGUGACUAAGAAUGCCUUAACCUCCUGGGAAUGCAGCCCAGUAGGUCUCAGCCUCAUUUUACCCAGCCCCUAUUCAAGAUGGAGUCACUCCGGUUCAACUGUCUCUGACCCUGAGAUGCAGAGAGAUAUAUAGUACAGCUUCCACUCUUAAGAACCUUAUAAACAUAGAAGACAAGUAAACAAAUGGUUUCCAAAAGCCCUAAGUGCUAUCAGGCAAAGCAUGUUGUAGAAUUAAAAGGAAGGAGUCAUGGCCUGGUGCAGUGGUUCAGGCCUGUAAUCUCAGCACUUUUGGAGGCUGAGAUGGGAGGAUCACUUGAGCCCAGGAAUUUGAGACCAGCCUGGACAAUACUAUGAGACCCCAUCUUUACAAAAAAUUUAAAAAUUAUUUGGGCAUAGUGGUAUACACGUGUAUUCCCAGCUACUUGAGAGGCUAAGGUGGAAGAAUUGCUUGAGCUCAGGAGAUCAAGACUGCAGUGAACUGUAAUCGUGCCACUGCACUCCAGCCUGGGAACAAAGGGAGACUUUACCUCAAUUUUUUUUUUUAAGAGGAAGGAGUCCUUAAGUUUGUCUGUGUGUAUGAGAGCUCUCCAGAGAAACUGAGUCAAUAGGAUAUGUAUGCAGAAAAAGAAAAUAUUUUUAAAAAUAUGCUCACAUGAUCAUGGAGGCUGACAAGUCCAAAAUUCGUAGGGUGGGCCAACAGACUGGAGACCUUAAUACAUUAAGUGUAUUAGAAAGAGUUGAUGUUUCAGUUCAAGUUCAAAGGCCAUCUGCUGGCAGAAUUCCUUCUUGCCUGGGAGAGAUCCUUUGUUUUAUUCAGGCCUUCAAUUGAUUGGAUGAGGCCCAGCUGGGUUACAUCUUCAUUCAAGGUCCACCAAUUUAAAUGUUAAUCUUAUCCAAGGAAAACACAUCACAGAAAUACCCAGAAUGAUGCCUGAGCAAAUAUCUGGGUCCUAUGACCCAGCCAAGUUGACCCAUAAAAUUAACCAUCGUGGCUGGGCAUGGUGGUGCAUGCCUGUAAUCCUAGCAUUUUGGGAGGCCGAGGUGGGAAGAUCACCUGAGGUUGGGAGUUCAAGACCAGCCUGACCAAUAUGGAGAAACCCCGUUUCUACUAAAAAAAAUACAAAAUUAGCCAGGCAUGAUGGCGCAUGCCUGUAAUCCCAGCUACUCAGGAGGCUGAGGCAGGAGAAUUGCUUGAACCGGGGAGGCGGAGGUUGCAGUGAGCUGAGAUCGCACCACUGCACUCCAGCCUGGGAAACAAGAGUGAGACGCUAUCUCAAAAAAAAAAAAUUAACCAUCACACUGCAAGGUAUAGAGAUGGCAGCCAGAGAGAGAUGAG
rnacentral:lncRNA from 10 species